rnacentral:rRNA from 1 species
UGGGGAAUAUUGCGCAAUGGGGGAAACCCUGACGCAGCAACGCCGCGUGAAGGAUGAAGGUUUUCGGAUUGUAAACUUCUUUGAUGAGGGACGAAACAAAUGACGGUACCUCAAAAACAAGCCACGGCUAACUACGUGCCAGCAGCCGCGGUAAUACGUAGGUGGCGAGCGUUGUCCGGAAUUACUGGGUGUAAAGGGCGUGUAGGCGGGGAUGUAGGUCAGAUGUGAAAUACCGAGGCUUAACUUCGGGGCUGCAUCUGAAACUACGUUUCUUGAGUGUCGGAGAGGAAAGCGGAAUUCCCAGUGUAGCGGUGAAAUGCGUAGAUAUUGGGAGGAACACCAGUGGCGAAGGCGGCUUUCUGGACGAUAACUGACGCUGAGGCGCGAAAGCGUGGGGAGCAAAC